rnacentral:rRNA from 1 species
GAUGAACGCUGGCGGCGUGCCUAAUACAUGCAAGUCGAGCGAACAGACGAGGAGCUUGCUCCUCUGACGUUAGCGGCGGACGGGUGAGUAACACGUGGAUAACCUACCUAUAAGACUGGGAUAACUUCGGGAAACCGGAGCUAAUACCGGAUAAUAUAUUGAACCGCAUGGUUCAAUAGUGAAAGACGGUUUUGCUGUCACUUAUAGAUGGAUCCGCGCCGCAUUAGCUAGUUGGUAAGGUAACGGCUUACUAAGGCAACGAUGCGUAGCCGACCUGAGAGGGUGAUCGGCCACACUGGAACUAAGACACGGUCCAGACUCCUACGGGAGGCAGCAGUAGGGAAUCUUCCGCAAUGGGCGAAAGCCUGACGGAGCAACGCCGCGUGAGUGAUGAAGGUCUUCGGAUCGUAAAACUCUGUUAUUAGGGAAGAACAAAUGUGUAAGUAACUAUGCACGUCUUGACGGUACCUAAUCAGAAAGCCACGGCUAACUACGUG